GAAUUCGCCCUUAGAGUUUGAUCCUGGCUCAGGACGAACGCUGGCGGCGCGCCUAACACAUGCAAGUCGAACGAGAGAGAGGAAGCUUGCUUCCUCAAUCGAGUGGCGAACGGGUGAGUAACGCGUGAGGAACCUGCCUCAAAGAGGGGGACAACAGUUGGAAACGACUGCUAAUACCGCAUAAGCCCACAGCUCGGCAUCGAGCAGAGGGAAAAGGAGCAAUCCGCUUUGAGAUGGCCUCGCGUCCGAUUAGCUAGUUGGUGAGGUAACGGCCCACCAAGGCGACGAUCGGUAGCCGGACUGAGAGGUUGAACGGCCACAUUGGGACUGAGACACGGCCCAGACUCCUACGGGAGGCAGCAGUGGGGAAUAUUGCACAAUGGGGGAAACCCUGAUGCAGCGACGCCGCGUGGAGGAAGAAGGUCUUCGGAUUGUAAACUCCUGUUGUUGAGGAAGAUAAUGACGGUACUCAACAAGGAAGUGACGGCUAACUACGUGCCAGCAGCCGCGGUAAAACGUAGGUCACAAGCGUUGUCCGGAAUUACUGGGUGUAAAGGGAGCGCAGGCGGGAGAACAAGUUGGAAGUGAAAUCCAUGGGCUCAACCCAUGAACUGCUUUCAAAACUGUUUUUCUUGAGUAGUGCAGAGGUAGGCGGAAUUCCCGGUGUAGCGGUGGAAUGCGUAGAUAUCGGGAGGAACACCAGUGGCGAAGGCGGCCUACUGGGCACCAACUGACGCUGAGGCUCGAAAGUGUGGGUAGCAAACAGGAUUAGAUACCCUGGUAGUCCACACCGUAAACGAUGAUUACUAGGUGUUGGAGGAUUGACCCCUUCAGUGCCGCAGUUAACACAAUAAGUAAUCCACCUGGGGAGUACGACCGCAAGGUUGAAACUCAAAGGAAUUGACGGGGGCCCGCACAAGCAGUGGAGUAUGUGGUUUAAUUCGACGCAACGCGAAGAACCUUACCAAGUCUUGACAUCCCUUGACGAUGCUGGAAACAGUAUUUCUCUUCGGAGCAAGGAGACAGGUGGUGCAUGGUUGUCGUCAGCUCGUGUCGUGAGAUGUUGGGUUAAGUCCCGCAACGAGCGCAACCCCUAUCUUCAGUAGCCAGCAGGUGAAGCUGGGCACUCUGGAGAGACUGCCAGGGAUAACCUGGAGGAAGGUGGGGACGACGUCAAAUCAUCAUGCCCCUUAUGAUCUGGGCUACACACGUGCUACAAUGGCGUAACAAAGGGAAGCGAGCCUGCGAGGGUGAGCAAAUCCCAAAAAUAACGUCCCAGUUCGGACUGUAGUCUGCAACCCGACUACACGAAGCUGGAAUCGCUAGUAAUCGCGAAUCAGAAUGUCGCGGUGAAUACGUUCCCGGGUCUUGUACACACCGCCCGUCA
rnacentral:rRNA from 1 species